ensembl:snRNA U6 U6 spliceosomal RNA
AUGCUCACUUCAGCAGCACAUAUCCUAAAAUUGGAACGAUACAGAGAAGAUGAGCAUGCCCCUGUGCAAGGAUGACACUCAGAAUCCCUGAAGCCUUCCAUAUUUUU